rnacentral:rRNA from 1 species
GAUGAACGCUGGCGGCGUGCUUAACACAUGCAAGUCGAACGAACCUUCGGGUUAGUGGCGGACGGGUGAGUAACGCGUGAGAAUCUACCCUCAGGAGGGGGAUAACGGUUGGAAACGACCGCUAAUACCCCAUAUGCCGAUAGGUGAAAUGAAUUUCGCCUGAGGAUGAGCUCGCGUCUGAUUAGCUUGUUGGUGAGGUAAUGGCUCACCAAGGCUUCGAUCAGUAGCUGGUCUGAGAGGAUGAUCAGCCACACUGGGACUGAGACACGGCCCAGACUCCUACGGGAGGCAGCAGUGGGGAAUUUUCCGCAAUGGGCGAAAGCCUGACGGAGCAACGCCGCGUGAGGGACGAAGGCCUCUGGGCUGUAAACCUCUUUUCUCAAGGAAGAAGAUAUGACGGUACUUGAGGAAUAAGCCACGGCUAAUUCCGUGCCAGCAGCCGCGGUAAUACGGGAGUGGCAAGCGUUAUCCGGAAUUAUUGGGCGUAAAGCGUCCGCAGGCGGCCUUUCAAGUCUGCUGUUAAAGCGUGGAGCUUAACUCCAUUAUGGCAGUGGAAACUGAUCGGCUUGAGUAUGGUAGGGGCAGAGGGAAUUCCCGGUGUAGCGGUGAAAUGCGUAGAUAUCGGGAAGAACACCAGUGGCGAAGGCGCUCUGCUGGGCCAUUACUGACGCUCAUGGACGAAAGCCAGGGGAGCGAAAGGGAUUAGAUACCCCUGUAGUCCUGGCCGUAAACGAUGAACACUAGGUGUCGGGGGAAUCGACCCCUUCGGUGUCGUAGCUAACGCGUUAAGUGUUCCGCCUGGGGAGUACGCACGCAAGUGUGAAACUCAAAGGAAUUGACGGGGGCCCGCACAAGCGGUGGAGUAUGUGGUUUAAUUCGAUGCAACGCGAAGAACCUUACCAGGGUUUGACAUCCUGAGAACCUCUUAGAAAUUUGAGGGUGCCUUCGGGAAUUCAGUGACAGGUGGUGCAUGGCUGUCGUCAGCUCGUGUCGUGAGAUGUUGGGUUAAGUCCCGCAACGAGCGCAACCCACGUUUUUAGUUGCCAGCAUUUAGUUGGGCACUCUAGAAAGACCGCCGGUGAUAAACCGGAGGAAGGUGUGGAUGACGUCAAGUCAUCAUGCCCCUUACACCCUGGGCUACACACGUACUACAAUGCUACGGACAAAGGGCAGCAAACUCGCGAGAGCUAGCAAAUCCCAUAAACCGUGGCUCAGUUCAGAUCGUAGGCUGCAACUCGCCUACGUGAAGUAGGAAUCGCUAGUAAUCGCAGGUCAGCAUACUGCGGUGAAUACGUUCCCGGGCCUUGUACACACCGCCCGUCACACCAUGGAAGUUGGCCAUGCCCGAAGUCGUUACUCCAACCCUUGUGGAGGAGGACGCCGAAGGUGGGGCUAAUGACUGGGGUGAAGUCGUAACAAGGUAGCCGUACCGGAAGGUGCGGCUGGAUCACCUCCU